AAGCGGUGAUGACUUCUGCGCACCAGUGGUGAUUUGGGUCGCCACGCUUUGUCUGACCUAAAUCGCACGAUCAACAGCGCAUCUGAGCUU
rnacentral:snoRNA from 1 species